GGAAACCUGCGUACUUUUGGCUUUAUAUAGUCAAAAGUUCAGGCCGGCAGUCUCACUGUUUCAGGGGUUGCUUCAGAGAACGUGGAUCUUCUCUCAGUUCCCGCCCGUCAGAUAUUGAGUUGAAACUGAAGUUAACUGGUUCCCAGAUUUCUUUGUUUAGGCAUCACAAAUCACCCUAAAAAUGGUGCAUCGAGAAACGCCCUCCUCUACAGCGCAAGUUAUAUGCACAUUUUGCGUCCUCUUGCUGAUUUGUGAGGUUUCCAGGGCUGACUUCGGGAGAAAGUCCGAGGAAAUCGCAAGGAAUAUCUGCCUUUUGAACUGCGCUCAGUGUGCGAAAGCCUUGGGGAAAUACUUCAUGCCACAACCAUGCGCUGAAUACUGCGUCAGCUUCCCGUUCAUCGAGAAUAAAUUCGACUGUUACAAACUCUCUUCCGUUGGCAGAUACCUUCGGCGUCUCCUUGUUUUCUGAUCCGAUCAGGAGGACAGCGGUAAUAACUCAUCGGCUCUGACCUCUGACGAUUAGAAGACGAAUUUUUAUCACUCAUCUACUUUGUAUUUAUAGCAUCACCCGAUUAGAAUGAUUGGAUUGGAGUCAGACACAACAAUAAAAAGACUAUAGAUGGUGGCCUAUGAGGAUUGAGGAAGCGUAUCUAAGAUGGACAGGUCGUUCUCUAGUGAAAGUGAAAAGGCGAAUUUUUGCGAUAAGAUUUGGUUUUUACUUCAGUGAGGCGUUUUUCAUCUUUGGUUUGCAACCCUGGUUGAAAUAGUCGAUCAAAUCAACUCGCGGAAAUUCACCUAAAAACCUUUUGUCAUCGGUAGAUGUGUGUGAUGCGCUCCUCCAAUAACAGCUCAAGAGACACAUAAAGGAGGAGCCCCUUCAUUCCAUCGUAUAUGAAAUACGCACAACCUUCGAGCCAGAAACAAUCUCAUAGAAUGCAUAAAACACCAAGAUUUCGUGAGGAGUCAGCUAAAUAUUACAGUUUAAUUAUAGGAGCUUACGUUUUGUCAGGUCAUUAGACUGAUUAAAUAUUGAUUUUCUAAAAGACGUAAAUUUUUCAAAUGACAUGAAAAGGGUUUAUGAAAAAACCAGUCAUUAAUGCUUAGGCUCUAAAUAAUUCUGUGAGGCCUAAGAAAAUUUUGAAUUUGCAUCGAUAAAAUCACACCUUAUAAGGUGGCUGAAACUCUCCCACUUUUGAGUUUCGGUCUCACUCAAGGAAGAGAGAGGGGAAGAAGGAGGAAGAGGGGGUGGAUAGGAGUGGACGAAAGAGGGGAGAGAGACAAAAGUUCGUAUUACAGCCCAUGUAUCAAAGACAUUCUGUCUCAUCGAAGAUUUACUCUUUUUUCAAAUUGUACGAUUACCAAAAAGUUUAGUUUUGCUAACACGUGACUCAUUUUUUAUGCGAGUGGUUCAGUUCAGAGUUUAAUGUUCGGUUAUAACAUUUACCUUUUUAAAUUAACAUGAUACGCAUUAAUUAGAUCUGCUCUGUAUUUUUAGGGCAUAGUUCUAACGGGUUUAAAAAAAAGGGGGAAAAAAAGGUUUUGAUGAAAUAAGGGUACUAACCUUGUUUUUUGUGGACGCCAUGAUACCGCACAGGAAAGUUAUGUGAGAUCACAUUUGACCAGGUCUAGAGGAAAAUUUUAACGAAGUGUUCGAAAAUGAUUGAAAUAAUGUACACAUGAAUCGAUUAUUCCCUAAAAAGAAACCAUACAGUAUUUUAACCAGUAAUUUAGAAGAUAAAAUAUAGUUUUGUUGCUUCUGAGUAUGUAUAUAAUUAUAUGUAUAUUUUUUUAAGCUUCCAGUAAGUAUUAAUAAUUACAUUUAUUUUUAUAAUCUUAUAAGUAAGGCAUGAAUUAUUGUUGUAUUCCAGAAGUUUAUUUGAAAGAUUGGUGAAAAAUUGCAUUUACAGAACUCUUAAAUUGUAUUGACACUAGGGAUAAAAGUAAUUACUACAAUAAUACUGAUGGCUAAUGCGCGGAUGGUAAAACUCCCAAACCACGUAUCUCGUUUGCGGUGUUUUAAGAUCUCUGAUUCAAUUUUUUUGAGAGAAAACGAAUCAACAUCAUUCCGUGAAGUUUUCACAGGAUUAUUAUGCAUAUAGGAAAGACAGACAUGGUAGUUUUAAUAAAGAGUCAAUGUCGAGAAAUCUAAUUAGUUUGAUUAUCGAUGUGCCAUGUACUUAAAGGUAUAUUUUUGUAAAAUUCAUUUCAAUUAUUUCAUUGUUAAUCUCAAAUUACAGAAAAAUCACGGUAAAGCUUUAUUCAUGUAUAUUUUGAGCUAUAUUAAGGUAUAGUUGGGUAGAAAAUUAAGAACAAGUGAAACGAAUUUUUUUGCGACCAAGGAAUGAUGCCGCUUGGACGAAAAUGUUUUUCCAUAAUUUUGUUUUGAUGUUGGUUAAAAAAUUAGAAAGUUGUACCUUACACGACUUCUCUAUUAACGAUUAACAGUUGUCCAUUUUUUUUUCACUAAACGCUCUUGAAUUUGUAAAUAAACAUCGUUACUUACUC